GACUAAGAUAUGCAUAGAGGGACUCAACCCCCACCCUCCCAGAUUAACAUGGAAUUCUAACAAGGAGAGCUGAGGCUGCCCCCCACACACACACACACACACCACACCACACACACACACACACACACACACACACACACACACACACACACACACACACACACACACACACACACACACACACACCACGGCAUAAAGCAUCUCAAGCAAUAAUUCCUAUCAUAAUAUUUAUUAAUAAUUGCUGACUCCCAGCAUUCUCGGUAUAGUUAUUUUCGUAUAAGUGGAUGAGCCUUGUGUUCGGUGACAGUCGGUCUGACAAUGCAACACCCAACAUAUUUGAGAUGGAUUUUACUGAAAGACAUUAUUUGUGUCAGGAGUCAAGGGUCGGG